rnacentral:rRNA from 1 species
AUUUGAUCUCAAAUCAGGUAGGACUACCCGCUGA